rnacentral:rRNA from 1 species
AUUGAACGCUGGCGGCAGGCCUAACACAUGCAAGUCGAACGAGUGGCGGACGGGUGAGUAAUGUCUGGGAAACUGCCUGAUGGAGGGGGAUAACUACUGGAAACGGUAGCUAAUACCGCAUACCAUCAGAUGUGCCCAGAUGGGAUUAGCUUGUUGGUGGGGUAACGGCUCACCAAGGCGACGAUCCCUAGCUGGGCUGAGAGGAUGACCCGCCCAAAUUGGAAUUAGAAACGGGCCCGACUCCUACGGGGGGAAGGCGUGGGGAAUAUUGCACAAUGGGCGCAAGCCUGAUGCAGCCAUGCCGCGUGUAUGAAGAAGGCCUUCGGGUUGUAAAGUACUUUCAGCGGGGAGGCGUUACCCGCAGAAGAAGCACCGGCUAACUCCGUGCCAGCAGCCGCGGUAAUAC